GUGAACCUUUACUAUAGCUUGACACUGAACACUGGUCCUUGAUGUGCAGGAUAGGUGGGAGGCUUUGAAGUGUGGACGCCAGUCUGCAUGGAGCCGUCCUUGAAAUACCACCCUUUAAUGGCUGGUGUUCUAACGUAGACCCGUGAACCGGGUUGCGGACAGUGUCUGGUGGGUAGUUUGACUGGGGCGGUCUCCUCCUAAAGCGUAACGGAGGAGCACGAAGGUUGGCUAAUCCUGGUCGGACAUCAGGAGGUUAGUGCAAUGGCAUAAGCCAGCUUGACUGCGAGCGUGACGGCGCGAGCAGGUGCGAAAGCAGGUCAUAGUGAUCCGGUGGUUCUGAAUGGAAGGGCCAUCGCUCAACGGAUAAAAGGUACUCCGGGGAUAACAGGCUGAUACCGCCCAAGAGUUCAUAUCGACGGCGGUGUUUGGCACCUCGAUGUCGGCUCAUCACAUCCUGGGGCUGAAGUAGGUCCCAAGGGUAUGGCUGUUCGCCAUUUAAAGUGGUACGCGAGCUGGGUUUAGAACGUCGUGAGACAGUUCGGUCCCUAUCUGCCGUGGGCGCUGGAGAACUGAGGGGGGCUGCUCCUAGUACGAGAGGACCGGAGUGGACGCAUCACUGG
rnacentral:rRNA from 1 species